CCUGUGUAAUACUAUUGAGCAAAGUUCCGGAAGUUUUGUUGUAUUCAGCCCCAAGGAAUAUGGACUUUGCGGCUUCUUUAUGGCAUAACUCCGAAACAAAAGAUUAUUAUUAGCAAGGAGGUGUUGGCAGCAUGGUAAAAGGAACCGUUAAAUGGUUCAAUGAGUCCAAGGGGUUUGGAUUCAUCACCAAAGAAGACGGCGGAGAUGUUUUUGUUCACUAUUCUGAAAUACAGGGCAAUGGCUUCAAGUCUUUGUCUGAAGGUCAGGCAGUGAGCUUCGAAGUUGUUGAUGGUCCCAAAGGUCCAAAAGCAGCAAACGUUACAAAACUCUAAGCCAAAAAAAUGCAGGUCCCGGCAAACCGGGACCUGCGUAU
rnacentral:other from 1 species